UAGAGUUUGAUCAUGGCUCAGAACGAACGCUGGCGGCAGGCCUAACACAUGCAAGUCGAGCGCGCCUUCGGGUGAGCGGCGGACGGGUUAGUAACGCGUGGGAACGUGCCCUUUUCUACGGAAUAGCCUCUGGAAACGGAGAGUAAUACCGUAUACGCCCUUUGGGGGAAAGAUUUAUCGGAGAAGGAUCGGCCCGCGUUAGAUUAGGUAGUUGGUGGGGUAACGGCCUACCAAGCCUACGAUCUAUAGCUGGUUUUAGAGGAUGAUCAGCAACACUGGGACUGAGACACGGCCCAGACUCCUACGGGAGGCAGCAGUGGGGAAUCUUAGACAAUGGGGGCAACCCUGAUCUAGCCAUGCCGCGUGAGUGAUGAAGGCCUUAGGGUCGUAAAGCUCUUUCGCCUGUGAUGAUAAUGACAGUAGCAGGUAAAGAAACCCCGGCUAACUCCGUGCCAGCAGCCGCGGUAAUACGGAGGGGGUUAGCGUUGUUCGGAAUUACUGGGCGUAAAGCGCGCGUAGGCGGAUUAGAAAGUUGGGGGUGAAAUCCCGGGGCUCAACCUCGGAACUGCCUCCAAAACUGCUAGUCUAGAGUUCGAGAGAGGUGAGUGGAAUUCCGAGUGUAGAGGUGAAAUUCGUAGAUAUUCG
rnacentral:rRNA from 1 species